rnacentral:rRNA from 1 species
AAAGAGCUCGUAGGUGGUUUGUCGCGUUGUCCGUGAAAUUCCCUGGCUUAACUGGGGGCGUGCGGGCGAUACGGGCAGACUGGAGUACUGCAGGGGAGACUGGAAUUCCUGGUGUAGCGGUGGAAUGCGCAGAUAUCAGGAGGAACACCGGUGGCGAAGGCGGGUCUCUGGGCAGUAACUGACGCUGAGGAGCGAAAGCGUGGGGAGCGAACAGGAUUAGAUACCCGAGU